AUUCCAGCUCCAAUAGCGUAUAUUAAAGUUGUUGUGGUUAAAAAGCUCGUAGUUGGAUCUCGGCGGACUGAGGGCGGUUUGCUUGCUAGUAUUACUGCCCUAUAGUCCGUAGUUUUGCCAGAGGUUUCGAGGUGCUCUUAAUCGAGUGUCCCGGGAUGCUGGCAGGUUUACUUUGAAAAAAUUAGAGUGCUCAAAGCAGGCUAUUACGCCUGAAUAUUCGUGCAUGGAAUAAUAGAAUAGGAAGUCGUUUCUAUUUUGUUGGUAUUCGGAAAUCGACUUAAUGAUUAAUAGGGACAGUCAGGGGCACUCGUAUUCCGCCGAGAGAGGUGAAAUUCUCAGACCAGCGGAAGACGAACCACUGCGAAAGCAUUUGCCAGGGAUGUUUUCAUUA
rnacentral:rRNA from 1 species